UCCGGUUUGUCACCGGCAGUCCCAUUAGAGUGCCCAACUUAAUGUGGCAACUAAUGGCAAGGGUUGCGCUCGUUGCGGGACUUAACCCAACAUCUCACGACACGAGCUGACGACAGCCAUGCACCACCUGUGAUGAGACCCUUGCGGGGGGCCGUGUUUCCACGGCUUUCCUCAACAUGUCAAGCCCAGGUAAGGUUCUUCGCGUUGCGUCGAAUUAAACCACAUGCUCCGCUGCUUGUGCGGGUCCCCGUCAAUUCCUUUGAGUUUUAGCCUUGCGGCCGUACUCCCCAGGCGGGAGGCUUAAUGCGUUAGCUUCGGCACAGACGGAGUCGACACCCCCCACACCUAGCACCCAUCGUUUACGGCGUGGACUAC
rnacentral:misc_RNA from 1 species